CAAUACGUCAGCGGCAGACGGGUGAGUAACGCGUGGGAACAUACCUUUUGGUUCGGAACAACACAGGGAAACUUGUGCUAAUACCGGAUAAGCCCUUACGGGGAAAGAUUUAUCGCCGAAAGAUUGGCCCGCGUCUGAUUAGCUAGUUGGUGAGGUAAAGGCCUACCAAGGCGACGAUCAGUAGCUGGUCUGAGAGGAUGAUCAGCCACACUGGGACUGAGACACGGCCCAG
rnacentral:rRNA from 1 species